AGAUAAUGCACAUCUAUAUAGUCCUCAAUUAGAGUCACUGAUAAUGCCAGUUGAAAGGACACUAAUGAUGAGACUGAGUUAGGAUGCCAGAGGAGAGUUUAUGAGACAUCAAGGGAAUUGAAGCAGCACUGGCAGGGAGUGUCUCAGACUAUGAUAAGGAUCUGACAAGGUCUCAGCCGACCUAACACAGAGCUCCAGAGCAAAGAUUUCCCACUGCACAGCUGGUAUCACGCACUGAUCAGUCACUGGCUGGGCACUGCUGGGGAAGAGUGUUGCCUCAGCUCAAAAGCAGAAUCGGAUCCUGAAGGACCUAAUGACUAGAAACUUCCAGCUGACUACACUCUGCAACUGACUGAUUUGAACGUCUAUAGAAUAUUACAUCUCUUUGACCUGAAGGACUUGCUUUAGCAUUUCUUGUACUACAAGUCUGAUGGAGCAUGAAGAGAAUCAAGACUGAAGACCAAAAUUGCUUUUCUCUCCUCUCGAUAACACUGUCAGCGUGGAGCAGGCCGACUGUGGAGGAACUUCAAUCGGGGCUAAAUUUACAUUCAUUCAGGUGUCACCGGACUCUGCUUUCUUGCCUCUCUUUUCUGAUCAAUGCACUCAUUAAAGGGCUCAAGCUUGGCAAUAGAUUCACCUUAAUGCUCGUCACCCUGGGGUUUCAAUAACACAGGCUCUGAGACUCUAACAAGCUGCUGAAGAAUGAAAAGAAAAAAAGCAAAAAAGCUUUAUCUUUCCCUUCUUGUAUAGAGUCCUGAAAUUGUUUCUCUUUGUCUUUUACAAACAGUUCUAUUGACUGUAGUAAUUUUAUGGAGGAGCUUUGAGGGGCAUAUAUGGGAAGAGAGAAAUUUGGAAAAUAUGUGGAGCAGGUGUACAGAACGAAUAUACAUCUAUUUAUUCCAAAAGAGUGAGAAAUUUGGAUCACAUUUAUUUCUGUUUUUCCUAACUUGGAAGAUUUGUUUGGAAACUUAAAAUAAAAGAGAAUCAAAGAAAAAGAUUAAGAAGCCCUUGGAUCAGAAGAGACUACAUACAUAUGACAACUAAAUGCAAUAUGCAAUUCUGCAUUGAAUUGGAUCCCGUUGAGGAAGAGGACAUCAGUGAAAUAAUAGUGUCUUGCACCUACUGAAUCACAAGUGAUGCAAUUUGCUCAUCUAUAAAUAAUAAUAUCCACUUCAAAGGAAUACUGUGAAUGUGAUUAGGCAACACAGAUGGCACAUUGCAUAAAGAAACGCGAACCCAGCAGCACUCCUGCCAGCGGCAAUUCUGAGUGCUCAUUUCCACUUUGCCAAGACAUUACAUGGGAAGGCAUGUGCGUUUAAGGGCAUCCAAUUGUUUCUGUAUCAGAACAGCAGCAACAUCCCGGGCAGGCCUUUCCUCUGGAGUUCACGUGUAGGUCGUACUGACACACAACAUGGCCUAAAUGGACCAUGGAGGAGGAAGGGACCCCAAAUCCAGGCCAAAUGGGAGCAGGGUUGUCCUCAGGAGGACCCCAGCUAGAAGACUUUCUCUGGAACCCACGGUGCCUCUCACUAAAGUGCCCCAACGUUGGCACAACACCUACCGAAUUGUUGUUGCUGACUCUCUAUGCCCAUGAUUCAACCAGAACAACAUUGAUUCGUUAAAAGGUGCAUGAAUAAACUUGACUCUGGAAACAACAACA
rnacentral:lncRNA from 1 species